UGAAGGGGCAGUAGUGCCAACGCUCCAGGGUAGCUGAGAGGGUGGUAGACUGGUGACGUGCACUUCAUUUAUGAUGUAGGUCACCCGUUUGACUAUCUAUCAGCACCCAGUCCAUCU
ensembl:miRNA